rnacentral:rRNA from 1 species
GACGAACGCUGGCGGCGUGCUUAACACAUGCAAGUCGAACGGAAAGGCCCUGCUUUUGUGGGGUGCUCGAGUGGCGAACGGGUGAGUAACACGUGAGUAACCUGCCCUUGACUUUGGGAUAACUUCAGGAAACUGGGGCUAAUACCGGAUAGGAGCUCCUGCUGCAUGGUGGGGGUUGGAAAGUUUCGGCGGUUGGGGAUGGACUCGCGGCUUAUCAGCUUGUUGGUGGGGUAGUGGCUUACCAAGGCUUUGACGGGUAGCCGGCCUGAGAGGGUGACCGGCGACAUUGGGACUGAGGUACGGCCCAGACUCCUACGGGAGGCAGCAGUGGGGAAUAUUGCACAAUGGGCGGAAGCCUGAUGCAGCAACGCCGCGUGCGGGAAGACGGCCUUCGGGUUGUAAACCGCUUUCGCCUGUGACGAAGCGUGAGUGACGGUAAUGGGUAAAGAAGCACCGGCUAACUACGUG